AUGAUCAUGUGGCCAUUUUGGUUUUUCUUCGUCAAUUCAAUCUCGUACCCUGUAAUUUGGUUCGUCGGAAAGAUACUAGCCGCACCUUUCCGACUUGUCAGUUGCACUAGCAAGUUUUGUAGCAGAGACUUCUUUGAUGAUAUUGUUGAUGUUUUAAGGAAGAUCUGGUCAGUAGGGAGUUUGUUGUAUCAAGGUGGUUCUGCAUCCAGAGCACUUGCGCUUACAUCUGAAACUACCAUUUGGGGAUCACUCUGGAAAGAUCUGUACCAGAUUUCAGUGCAGUCUGGAGCAUUUUGUAUGGUUUUGUUGUCUUCUUUUCAAUCGUGCAAUAGGCAUCGGCUCAGUCCGUCAUUCUGCAUCCAAUGGAUAAGGUAUCCCUCACAGGCCACUGGGGUAUCAUAUUUGUUGUGCCACUACUAUAAAUUCAUGAUAGUCGCAAUUCCCAUCUUCCAUGGAUGCCCCCAGGAGGACAUGGUGUAUGUGGAGGUGCAGUAUCUGAUUCUAACAAGGACGAAUGGAAGGCUGAAGGAAGAUUUUAGAGAUGGCAAAGGCGUCAGCAAGGACAUGAGACAAGAGUGCCACCAACCAACCUUGGAUUUGUUUCUGAGGCAAUGGUACAUGCCCUUUCAGGUCGAGUCAACAAUCUUCUACCUUUCUAUAGGCUCUUCACAUGCACAUACCUCUGCAGUGUAG
rnacentral:rRNA from 1 species